ACGCUCGACACCUACGGAAGGCAGCAGUAGGGAAUCUUCGGCAAUGGACGCAAGUCUGACCGAGCAACGCCGCGUGAGUGAAGAAGGUUUUCGGAUCGUAAAACUCUGUUGUUAGAGAAGAACAAGGAUGAGAGUGGAAAGUUCAUCCCUUGACGGUAUCUAACCAGAAAGCCACGGCUAACUACGUGUCAGCAGCCGCGGUAAUCUGAGCGGGCUGGCAAGGC
rnacentral:rRNA from 1 species